rnacentral:piRNA from 1 species
UAGGCAUAACUCUACUUCCCUUUGGCAGA